rnacentral:rRNA from 1 species
ACUCCUACGGGAGGCAGCAGUGGGGAAUAUUGCACAAUGGGCGCAAGCCUGAUGCAGCCAUGCCGCGUGUAUGAAGAAGGCCGUCGGGUUGUAAAGUACUUUCAGCAGUGAGGAAAGGUGGGUAUGUUAAUAGCAUACUCAUUUUGACUUUAGCUGCAGAAAGAAGCACCGGGCUAACUCCGUGCCAGCAGCCGCGGGUAAUACGGAGGGUGCGAGCGUUAAUCGGAAUUACUGGGCGUAAAGCGCAUGCAGGUGGUUUUGUUAAGUCAGAUGUGAAAGCCCGGGGCUCAACCUCGGAAUUGCAUUUGAAACUGGCAAAACUAGAGUACUGUAGAGGGGGGU